AAUGAACGCUGGCGGCGUGCUUAACACAUGCAAGUCGAACGAUGAACCUAGCUUGCUAGGGGAUUAGUGGCGCACGGGUGAGUAAUAUAUAGAUAACGUACCUCUUAGUCUGGGAUAGCCAUUGGAAACGAUGAUUAAUACUGGAUACUCCUUCUGAUUCCAAUGUCAGUCGGGAAAGUUUUUUCGCUAAGAGAUCGGUCUAUAUCCUAUCAGUUAGUUGGUGAGGUAAUGGCUCACCAAGGCAAUGACAGGUAGCGGGUUUGAGAGGAUGAUCCGCCACACUGGUACUGAGACACGGACCAGACUCCUACGGGAGGCAGCAGUGAGGAAUAUUGCACAAUGGGGGAAACCCUGAUGCAGCAACGCCGCGGUGGAGGAUGACGCAUUUCGGUGUGUAAACUCCUUUUAUAUGUCAAGAAAAUGACGGGUAGCAUAUGAAUAAGCACCGGCUAACUCCGU
rnacentral:rRNA from 1 species